GCGGGCGUAGUUCAAUGGUAGAACUUCAGCCUUCCAAGCUGACUAUAGGGGUUCGAUUCCCCUCGCCCGCUCCA
rnacentral:tRNA from 1 species